rnacentral:lncRNA from 1 species
UCGUAAUCAUAAUCGAAAUUUUAAGAACACACUAUGUACCUUUGACUAAAUUUAUUAACAUUUCUCAACCUAAGCCUUUAGAUUUGAAAUGAAGCAUAAUAUUCUCUCCCUUAAUUAUAGCAAAACAACUUUACAACCCUUACGACUUUGCAAGGUAUAACUCUUGUUUUCUAUAAUUAAUAUUGCCAACUUGCAAUACGUGCCUUAAUAAUCAUACAAUCAUAACAUUUAUGCUCCCACUAUCAUGAUGAUUAUUAUAAAACAUAACACUUAUGCUCCCACUAGCUUCGACAUGUAUUCAUAAACAUCUUAACUUUCAGAAAAACAAUGCUUAUUGAAUUUCUUAAGUUCAUGUUUCUCAUACUUAGUGCUUUGAUAAUCUUUUAUCAAGGCUUCUUGAACUUAUACACCUUUGCCUUCGAUAGUUCAUAUGUGUGUCUAAACACUUAAGACUAAUUGCCAAACCUCACAAUUCAAAUUAUGGAAAGGGAUACCGUAACCAUAAUCGAAUUCGAGAAUGCAAUUUUACAAUCACUAUCUUCUAAAAUCUUUCUUAGUGAAAGCAUUUCCUCACAAUCAUUUUCAUGAAGGAGGAAAUCUUAUGACACUUAGAUUUAAACGGUGUAUUUGUUCCUAUCCAUGUGAAUUUGUUAAAAACAAAGUUUACGACAAAUUCAAACUCAUAUGGAUCGAACUUUCUUAAUCUCGAUUUCUUGCCUUAUGGUAGCACAGCUGCCCACCAUGUCUUCCAAGUAGUUAAGCAGCUCACCUUUUCUUAUCAAUGUACUUUCCAUUGAUCAAGGUCCUUGCCUUUUAUGCAUUCAAAUGAGAACUCAUAGGAUUCACAUGCAUAAUUAACUCGAUUGGAUUGGCACAGAAACAAAAUAAUGUCAACACGAUAGGUUGUAAACCUCAACUCGUGUGCUAGUGAUGAUCGAUAAGGUUUAUUUGAUUUGUUCUUGAAACCUUUCAAGACCAUUAAGGCUCCCACUAACUCCUUGACAUAUAAGAUUCUUUUGUCAAUAAACAUUUCUUGACAAACAAAUAUUCAAGAGUUAGCGUAGCUUUUAUCAAAACACUUCAUAAAUUGGUCCUAGUCGGUCUUUGUCUUACUCAAGACAUCACAACUUUCCACAUUUGAUGAAUGUUGUAAGCCUUUAAUACUUUUCACUCAUUAUCAAAGACAUCACAACUUUCCACAUUUGAUGAAUGUUGUAAACCUUUAAUACUUUUCACUCAUUAUCACAAUCUUAAUUUUAAGACUUGUUAUUGGGAUGAAAUAUGAUUGACUUCUUGAUUUAACCAUUUCCUCAAUCCUUGAUUCCUCUUCUUAGACAUACAAUUGUACUAAGACUCACUUAGAGGAUCAAUUGAGAUAUGGUUCUUAAUCAUUAAGACCUAUCAUAAAGCAUAAAAGCUACUCUCCCUUCUUCUUAGAAUGGAGAAACUUUUAUCUUUCUGCCUACUUGAUUCUUCUUAUUCGUUUUGCUAUUGAUUUAAACCUUUUUAAUCAAUUCAGAAUUACACUUAAUCUUAUAAGUAUAAUCAUAUUUACUAAACCUUUAGUAAAUCAUGACGAAUAUCUUUGUUACUCUUAUGGUGGACUUGAUCAACACGCAACUUUGUGUAUUCGAUCUCCAAGUCCUUCACUUGACACUUUGUCAAUGAAUUAGUCUAAUUUUCAAAUAUGAAAUUUCUCAUUCAUCGUGCAACCAAGUUGCAUGAUUCCAAGUUUCUGUCCAAUUGAAACUUGGGCGAUGAGAAACUCUCCCUAUUUGGUAAAUUCUCGACUUUCCAUAAAUAACAUAAUAAGAACCAAAUCCAUUAUUGCUAAUAAUAGAAACAUUCAAACAUCAAUUUUUCAUAUACGCCAUUGCAAGGAUAAAUAAAUAAUAUAAAAUCAAAAUUUAUUUUAUUGCGGAAAAAUUUUGUCCUUACAAUGCAAUUCAUUGAAAAACUAUGCUAAUACAUCUUUCUUAGCAAUCUAAUUCUAACUCUAAGUAGUAGCUCAAGAAUCUAAUCUUCGAGAAAUGCGAUCGAAAUCCAUUCCUUCACGGUUAGAUUCUGCUCACUUCUUCCUUUAAGCUUCCUUUCUUUUCUUCGAUCCUACAAAACAUCAAUUGUAAUCUUAU